ACAUGGCACAGCUACCAGCAAGGCGACAAUUACUGUGAAGAGACCAUCAGGAGCCGGGGAGUCCUGCCAGCUUGGUAUAGUGCCCCAUCUGACUGACAUCCAUCCCAGUAAGCUGGAGGUGAGUCUGCUGGAUCGGUUCCGGGUGAGUUUCGGUGUGGAAGGCGGCUCCAUCAGUCUGGUGUGCACCAUGGUGGUCGUCCCCGACCUCCCCAACGUGCCCCCCCUCGCCCAGUGGUACAGAGACGAUAAACUGCUGAAACCCGGUAAGCUGGUGGAGAUAUCUGUGGGCGGAGGCGCCGCCCGUCUGACGCUGCCUCACCUGGCCAAGGACGACGAGGGCCUCUACACCCUCCGCAUCUUUACCAAGGACGGCACCGCCGAGCACAGCGCCUACCUGUUUG